rnacentral:rRNA from 1 species
UACGUAGGGUGCAAGCGUUGAUCGGAAUUACUGGGCGUAAAGCGUGCGUAGACGGUUAUGUAAGACAGAUGUGAAAUCCCCGGGCUCAACCUGGGAACUGCAUUUGUGACUGCAUAGCUAGAGUGCGGCAGAGGGAGAUGGAAUUCCGCGUGUAGCAGUGAAAUGCGUAGAUAUGCGGAGGAACACCGAUGGCGAAGGCAAUCUCCUGGGCCUGCACUGACGCUCAUGCACGAAAGCGUGGGGAGCAAACAGG